AGUGAACGCUGGCGGUAGGCCUAACACAUGCAAGUCGAACGGCCGCACAGUAAGAGUUCUCUCCUACGGGUGGCGACUGGCGGACGGGUGAGGAAUACAUCGGAAUCUACUUUUUCGUGGAGGAUAACGUAGGACAACUUCUGCUAAUAGCGCAUAUGUCCUACGGGUGAAAUCAGGAGAUCCUGGGACCUUGCGCGAUUGUAUGAGACGGGGUCGGUUUAGCUAGUUGGCGGGGUAAGGGCCCACCAAGGCGACGAGCCGUAGCUGGUCUGAGGGGAUGGUCAGCCACACUGGACCUGAGACACGGCCCAGCCCCCUAGGGGAGGCGGCAGAGGGAAUUUUUGGACAAGGGGGGAAACCCGGAGCAAGCCAGCCCGCGGGGGUAAAGAAGGCCUUCGGUUUGUAAACCCCUUUUGUUGGGAAAGAAAAGCGGCAGGUUAACACCCCGCUGUCCGAACGGUACCCAAAGAAAAAGCACCGGUAAACUCCGG
rnacentral:rRNA from 1 species